UCCCUUGUGGCUCAGCUGGUAAAGAAUCUGCCUGCAGUGCAGAAGACCUAGGUUCGAUGCCUGAGUUGGGGAG
rfam:Ovis aries breed Texel chromosome 7, whole genome shotgun sequence.